rnacentral:rRNA from 1 species
GGUGCUAAUACCGCAUAACCAUAGUUACCGCAUGGUAGCUAUGUAAAAGGUGGCUAUGCUACCGCUUUUGGAUGGGCCCGCGGCGCAUUAGCUAGUUGGUGGGGUAAAGGCUUACCAAGGCAAUGAUGCGUAGCCGAACUGAGAGGUUGAUCGGCCACAUUGGGACUGAGACACGGCCCAAACUCCUACGGGAGGCAGCAGUAGGGAAUCUUCCACAAUGGGCGAAAGCCUGAUGGAGCAACGCCGCGUGGGUGAAGAAGGUCUUCGGAUCGUAAAACCCUGUUGUUAGAGAAGAAAGUGCGUGAGAGUAACUGUUCACGUUUCGACGGUAUCUAACCAGAAAGCCACGGCUAACUACGUGCCAGCAGCCGCGGUAAUACGUAGGUGGCAAGCGUUAUCCGGAUUUAUUGGGCGUAAAGGGAACGCAGGCGGUCUUUUAAGUCUGAUGUGAAAGCCUUCGGCUUAACCGGAGUAGUGCAUUGGAAACUGGGAGACUUGAGUGCAGAAGAGGAGAGUGGAACUCCAUGUGUAGCGGUGAAAUGCGUAGAUAUAUGGAAGGACACCAGUGGCGAAAGCGGCUCUCUGGUCUGUAACUGACGCUGAGGUUCGAAAGCGUGGGUAGCAAACAGGAUUAGAUACCCUGGUAGUCCACGCCGUAAACGA